GCUCAGAUUGAACGCUGGCGGCAGGCCUAACACAUGCAAGUCGAACGGUAGCACAGAGAGCUUGCUCUCGGGUGACGAGUGGCGGACGGGUGAGUAAUGUCUGGGAAACUGCCUGAUGGAGGGGGAUAACUACUGGAAACGGUAGCUAAUACCGCAUAACGUCGCAAGACCAAAGAGGGGGACCUUCGGGCCUCUUGCCAUCAGAUGUGCCCAGAUGGGAUUAGCUAGUAGGUGGGGUAACGGCUCACCUAGGCGACGAUCCCUAGCUGGUCUGAGAGGAUGACCAGCCACACUGGAACUGAGACACGGUCCAGACUCCUACGGGAGGCAGCAGUGGGGAAUAUUGCACAAUGGGCGCAAGCCUGAUGCAGCCAUGCCGCGUGUAUGAAGAAGGCCUUCGGGUUGUAAAGUACUUUCAGCGGGGAGGAAGGUGUUGUGGUUAAUAACCACAGCAAUUGACGUUACCCGCAGAAGAAGCACCGGCUAACUCCGUGCCAGCAGCCGCGGUAAUACGGAGGGUGCAAGCGUUAAUCGGAAUUACUGGGCGUAAAGCGCACGCAGGCGGUCUGUCAAGUCGGAUGUGAAAUCCCCGGGCUCAACCUGGGAACUGCAUUCGAAACUGGCAGGCUAGAGUCUUGUAGAGGGGGGUAGAAUUCCAGGUGUAGCGGUGAAAUGCGUAGAGAUCUGGAGGAAUACCGGUGGCGAAGGCGGCCCCCUGGACAAAGACUGACGCUCAGGUGCGAAAGCGUGGGGAGCAAACAGGAUUAGAUAC
rnacentral:rRNA from 1 species